GUACACUCCUGCGGGAGGCAGCAGUGGGGAAUUUUGGACAAUGGGCGAAAGCCUGAUCCAGCAAUGCCGCGUGUGUGAAGAAGGCCUUCGGGUUGUAAAGCACUUUUGUCCGGAAAGAAAUCCUUGGCUCUAAUACAGUCGGGGGAUGACGGUACCGGAAGAAUAAGCACCGGCUAACUACGUGCCAGCAGCCGCGGUAAUACGUAGGGUGCGAGCGUUAAUCGGAAUUACUGGGCGUAAAGCGUGCGCAGGCGGUUUGCUAAGACCGAUGUGAAAUCCCCGGGCUCAACCUGGGAACUGCAUUGGUGACUGGCAGGCUAGAGUAUGGCAGAGGGGGGUAGAAUUCCACGUGUAGCAGUGAAAUGCGUAGAGAUGUGGAGGAAUACCGAUGGCGAAGGCAGCCCCCUGGGCCAAUACUGACGCUCAUGCACGAAAGCGUGGGGAGCAAACAGGAUUAGAAACCCUUGUAGUCCCAUGA
rnacentral:rRNA from 1 species